rnacentral:misc_RNA from 1 species
GUGACAGAGUAUGAACACUUGCUCCAUUCUGACAAAUAGCCAUGGCAUCUGUACAUGCCUCCAGAAUAUCGAAGGUGUCCUGAACAAAGGGGACAUUUGGGGAGCCCUCCAAAAUGCAUUGCAUCAGCACAGCGAUCUCGAAGAUCAAGCUCUGAUCCUGAAGAUUCCUGAUCAUUAGCUUCAAGCAUCUCUCGCAACUCUCCUGUGCUGACAUGCUUUUUGAGAUCAUCCUUGAGUGCCCAUAGGGCUUUAGUCUGUGCCUCCAGUUGGCUCUCCAGCUCAGAUCCUUUGGAGAGUUCAACCUUCACAUUGUCAAUGUUUCUGUCAACCACUUUUUUGCCGGUAGAAACAUCAAGUUCGGCUUUAGCAACCUUAGAUUUCUCACUGUUGUUACUGGUUUUUUUCCUUUUAGCACCAGCCUUAGAUGUUGAUUCCUG